rnacentral:tRNA from 1 species
ACAAUGGUGGUUCAGUGGUAGAAUUCUUGCCUUCUAUGUGGGAGACCUGGGUUUGACUCCAGCCAAUGCA